ACGACAGCAGCAGCAGCACAUGCAUUCUCUCUUCCUUAUCUCUUCAGUCUUCUCCCCCAUCUCUUCCUCUCCCACAUGCCGCGGUGCACGGAGCUACCGGCGCAUGCGGAACGAGGCAAGCGCGUGGGUGGGCGGAUCCGGUGGUUGGAGGUGGUAGUGAGCUCGCAGGCGGGCGGAUCCGGUACAUAAACCAGGUCGCGCUCGAUGCGGAGUUGCACUGGCACCUUCUGCGGCAACCUGCUGGUCGGAGCCAUGGCGCACUCCUAGAGGCUACUCGUGUAGGGCCUCACAUCACUCAUGUUUUUCUGUGCCCAUGCCGAUGAGUACGACCUGCUGCCACCCAGCCCGCUGGGUGCUGGUGCUUAUGGCGCACAACAAGCCUGCGUCCCAUCCUCAGUAGGUACACAUCUCUGUCAUCGGGGCGAAGAACAUGCGCAUCUCGAGGCUCACCGAUGACCAGAGCGCACCGUCCGUGCUCGAAGACGGCAGAUCCACGAGAUCAAGACGCUGCCCGUGGUGGAGUUCACGCCGUUCGCCGCAUACAACGCACGGUGGGCCGGUGGCGGAUGCCACUCGAGGAGAGCGGCUCGCAGGGAGCAACGGCAGCUCUGCGCAGGGGAGCAGUGGUGGCUGCUAGCUGGCAGUGAUUUUUUUUUGUUUUUUUUAUUUGUAGGGGCGGGUUGCGGUGUGAUUCAUCCCUGAAAACCAAUUUGUAGGGACGGGUCAUCCCGUCACCUGUCCUUGGAAAUCUAUUUUCAAGAGCGGGUGAGGGGGUCCCUGUUGACGAUCAAAAUUGGCACGGCUGUGCAGACCGGUCUGACCGGUAUGCAGAGACUGGUCAGACCAGUAAAGGUGACUGUUGACGGCUAUAAAGUACCGAAUUUAGGCCA